AACAGAUGUCCUGAGCACAAAUGAGCU
rnacentral:piRNA from 1 species